CGCACCUUCACCUCCAACAGCGGCCUCAGCAGGGUGCUCGGCCUCGGUACUAAGAGGCGGAGGGAGUUGUCGUCGCAGCUGGUGAGGAAGGAGGACCCGUCAGGCGACCACUUCACGCCCUUGAGGAAGUUGCCCGCGGAGGCGGAGGCGGCGGCGGCGGCGGAGCGGAACUGGCCAGCGAAGUGGUAG
rnacentral:lncRNA from 2 species